UACGUAGGGUCCGAGCGUUUGUCCGGAAUUAUUGGGCGUAAAGAGCUCGUAGGCGGUUUGUCGCGUCUGCCGUGAAAGUCCGGGGCUCAACUCCGGAUCUGCGGUGGGUACGGGCAGACUAGAGUGAUGUAGGGGAGACUGGAAUUCCUGGUGUAGCGGUGAAAUGCGCAGAUAUCAGGAGGAACACCGGUGGCGAAGGCGGGUCUCUGGGCCGCAACUGACGCUGAGGAGCGAAAGCAUGGGGGAGCGAACAGG
rnacentral:rRNA from 1 species